AGGCCAUAGCUUGCUGCUAUUUUUUCUCUUUUAGAUUCAUAGAGGAAUACAUCUGGAUGAAAAUAAAUCACUCAUAAAAAUAUUUUGCCUAAUCUUAAGAGUUAAUAGUCGAAAGUGUUGGCUUCUAUUAUGAGUGCGACGUAAUGCUCUUCUCCCAGUGGUUUUCAUACAGUAACCACUUAUAACAUGGGAAAUGACAUUCCAAAUGGAGCAUCCAUCUUCUGUGUCCUGGAGGCAGCUGCUUUAUUUGGCACUAGGCUAGUGGCAACAAAGUUACAGGCUUGCUUUGGGGCUGUGCAGCAAGGUCAGUUUCUGAAAGACUGUAUCCUUACCUAAUGUACAGCUUCUCUGGAAGCCCAAAUCCAUGAAGGAAGAAGUAGAAAAGAAAGGUUCCAUCCACCCACUCAAGCUGCAGAUGACACUGGGCAUACCAUGACCAUAAGAAUAACUUUGGUACUUGUAUCAUUUGCUGAGAUUUCUGAGGCAUAAAAUUUUUUUCAUAUAUAAUCUGCUUUGCAAAAUUUUUGUAAUAUUUGACAUUUUGAUUUAAAUCUGUGAACCCACAUACACAAAGUCUUUCCCUCAAACUCACUUCUGAAUGUAGAAAUAAUGGAAUUCACAGUAGUAGCAAAAAAAUCCACAAAACUACAAGCUGAUCCUUUUGUUAAAUAUAAAUCAUUAAAUAUAUUUAUGAAGCAGUCUUUAGAAAGGGGAGAAGAAAAAGGUAUUUCAUACAAAAAGAUGCAACUUGAUGAUCAUAUGAUCAGGGAAAGUUACUCAGUUUGGGGAUGCUUCCUGAUCACAAAAAGUGGUGACAAAAAGCAUGAGAAAGUGUAUGGGUGGGAAGAAGAGAAGAGGUGAUCCUCAGUAGAGUAGUGAAUAGAUACACAGCCACACUUCACAGGAGGUUGAAAAGACUUUUCUUGGACAGCCAGACGCACCCACAUGGAAUUUCCUGUAGCCACAAAAGUCACUGAAGGUUGCUGUAUGAAAAGCAAGACUGAAGGAAGAGAGCAGUACUAGAAAUGCACAGGCUGAGAAGGACUUAUGAGUACUACUCGUUACAUCUAUAUCUAUUUUAGUAAUUCCCCACCUGUGUAGCUUUAACUGAAAUUAGAUUAAGUGCCCCAGAAGGUAACAGCUGUAAAACUAUUUACACCAGCACUUGAAUACAUUUUACUUGGGAUGUCACUCAAACUUCUGCUUGAAAAUGUAAACAAUGUAUAUAAUAUGGUGAAUAAAAUCAAGGGAUUAUUUUAGGGCUCAAGAAUCAUGUGGCAACAGACAUUAUAAUGAACAAUUUGUCCUCUUUUUUCCAUUUUUCCUCUCAACACACAUGAUCCAUUACUCUGACAUUUUUAUUCUAUAUUAAUUUCCUCUUCUCAUUAUUUUUCAUAGCUACCACAGCUCCAUUACAUCUUCUAUAACAAGAAGACUGAUGCUAAGUAAAAGUUGGGUCCAAUUAAUCAAGAACUGUAUACCACAAAUUAUUUAUACUGACUCUGAGCUGGGGAAGAUAAUGUGCUUCAGGUAGUGUUUGGCAAGACUUUGGCAUUAUAAAAUCCUGUAUUUACAAGCAGAGUCCCCAUUCCUGUCAACAGAAAGUUACUGCUGGUAGAGUAAUUUUGUUUUAGAAAUGUCACCCCUAACUAUGCACUUUCUAUUGGGAGCUGUCCUGGGGUGACUUUAUGAUGCCAAAUUGUAUCCCCAUUCAUCUGUUUGGCCCAUAAACAAGUUUUGCAACUUUAAAACUAGAUCUAAGAGUGAAGGGGAGGGAGAAGGAGAAGCAGUGGAAUUUCUGAGGUGGCUGUAUUAAGAAACAUACAGAUAAGAGCUUCAUCUUUCUCUCUCUCUGUGCAUGUUGUCUGCAGGACAGGCAGUGCAAAAGAGCUCACCUUUGCUUUGAGUAAGUUUUUUUAAUCUAGCUGAGGCAGAGAAGUUCCCCAGACUGUGUUUUUUUCUUGGAACUGGUCAUCCUACUCUGGGCUUAAACCCAGAAAAGCAUCAGCAGCUUGCACCUGUGGGCCCUGGACGUGGCAUUUUCCAGCACAGGAGGGACUGAUAAGAGACUGAGCGAGCUGAGCUACACCCCAUGGAAAGGACUUUCUGAAUUUGCCAUUUCUUCAGAACAGCUAGAGGUUCCAUUGUUUAAUAUUACACCUUUUUUUUUUUAAUUCUUGUGAAUAUUUUGCUUGUUAAAUAAACAG